GAUGAACGCUGGCGGCGUGCCUAAUACAUGCAAGUCGAGCGAACAGAUGAGGAGCUUGCUCCUCUGACGUUAGCGGCGGACGGGUGAGUAACACGUGGAUAACCUACCUAUAAGACUGGGAUAACUUCGGGAAACCGGAUCUAAUACCGGAUAAUAUAUUGAACCGCAUGGUUCAAUAGUGAAAGACGGUUUUGCUGUCACUUAUAGAUGGAUCCGCGCCGCAUUAGCUAGUUGGUAAGGUAACGGCUUACCAAGGCUACGAUGCGUAGCCGACCUGAGAGGGUGAUCGGCCACACUGGAACUGAGACACGGUCCAGACUCCUACGGGAGGCAGCAGUAGGGAAUCUUCCGCAAUGGGCGAAAGCCUGACGGAGCAACGCCGCGUGAGUGAUGAAGGUCUUCGGAUCGUAAAACUCUGUUAUUAGGAAAGAACAAAUGUGUAAGUAACUAUGCACGUCUUGACGGUACCUAAUCAGAAAGCCACGGCUAACUACGUG
rnacentral:rRNA from 1 species